rnacentral:rRNA from 1 species
CGGACUGGUGAGUAACGCGUGAGCAACCUGCCUAUUAGAGGGGAACAACAGUUAGAAAUGACUGCUAAUACCGCAUAUGCCUAAGUACCACAUGGUACAAUAGGGAAAGGAGUAAUCCGCUAAUAGAUGGGCUCGCGUCUGAUUAGAUAGUUGGUGGGGUAACGGCCUACCAAGUCAACGAUCAGUAGCCGGACUGAGAGGUUCAACGGCCACAUUGGGACUGAGAUACGGCCCAGACUCCUACGGGAGGCAGCAGUCGGGAAUAUUGCGCAAUGGAGGAAACUCUGACGCAGUGACGCCGCGUGCAGGAAGAAGGUUUUCGGAUUGUAAACUGCUUUAGACAGGGAAGAAAAAGACAGUACCUGUAGAAUAAGCUCCGGCUAACUACGUGCCAGCCGCGGC